rnacentral:rRNA from 1 species
AUGGUGCAACUAAUCUCCGAGUUCCUCUGCGCCGGCACCGGGACGGCGGUAGCAACCCUCGAAUGGGCCCUCGCCCACCUUGUCGACAAGCCGAAGAUGCAGGAGAAGUUCCGCGGUGAGGUCGACGACGGCGAGGUCUCCCGUGCAGGUGCAGGCAUGCCUUACCUGCAUGCUGUCGUGCUGGAGACCCUGCGCAUGCACCCACAGUUGCCGGUCAUCCCGCGCCAUGCCCAUGCCGAUGUCGUCGGGGUGCUGGUCGGAGGAAUGGCCGUGCCGCCGCCGGCCGGUGACUUUUACGUGAAUUUCUCUGCGGGGGACAUUGGCAGGGACAACAGGAUAUGGAAGGAUGCCGACGAGUUCCUGCCAGAGCGGUUCCUGACCGGCGGCGACGGGGAGGGCGUCGGCCCAUUGCCGGGGCCCAAGCAUAUCAGGAUGAUGCCAUUUGGCGCCGGGCAUAGGUUCUGCCCUGGCGUGGGCAUGGCCAUGGUGAACAUGAAGUGCUUCUUGGCGGCGCUCGUGCGCGAGUUCGAGUGGGCACCGCCGACUGGCACCGACACCGUUGACCUCACGGAGCUGGAUUCCUUCUUCAAGGUGAUGAAGAAGCCGCUUUCCGCGCGUGUCACGCAACGCACCAAAUCCAUCUAA